rnacentral:rRNA from 1 species
GGGUCGGUCACUCCAACCCAUGUGAACCAUACCAAACUGUUGCCUCGGCGGGGUCACGCCCCGGGUGCGUCGCAGCCCCGGAACCAGGCGCCCGCCGGAGGGACCAACCAAACUCUUUUCUGUAGUCCCCUCGCGGACGUUAUUUCUUACAGCUCUGAGCAAAAAUUCAAAAUGAAUCAAAACUUUCAACAACGGAUCUCUUGGUUCUGGCAUCGAUGAAGAACGCAGCGAAAUGCGAUAAGUAAUGUGAAUUGCAGAAUUCAGUGAAUCAUCGAAUCUUUGAACGCACAUUGCGCCCGCCAGUAUUCUGGCGGGCAUGCCUGUCCGAGCGUCAUUUCAACCCUCGAACCCCUCCGGGGGGUCGGCGUUGGGGACCUCGGGAGCCCCUAAGACGGGAUCCCGGCCCCGAAAUACAGUGGCGGUCUCGCCGCAGCCUCUCCUGCGCAGUAGUUUGCACAACUCGCACCGGGAGCGCGGCGCGUCCACGUCCGUAAAACACCCAACUUCUGAAAUGUUGACCUCGGAUCAGGUAGGAAUACCCGCUGAACUUAAGCAUAUCAAAAA